rnacentral:rRNA from 1 species
UACGGAGGGUGCAAGCGUUAUCCGGAUUCACUGGGUUUAAAGGGUGCGUAGGCGGGCAGGUAAGUCCGUGGUGAAAUCUCUGAGCUUAACUCAGAAACUGCCAUGGAUACUAUUUGUCUUGAAUAUUGUGGAGGUAAGCGGAAUAUGUCAUGUAGCGGUGAAAUGCUUAGAUAUGACAUAGAACACCAAUUGCGAAGGCAGCUUGCUACACUGUGAUUGACACUGAGGCACGAAAGCGUGGGGAUCAAACAGG